rnacentral:rRNA from 1 species
GACGAACGCUGGCGGCGUGCCUAAUACAUGCAAGUCGAACGCAGUGGGGACGGGUGAGUAACACGUGCGUAACCUCCCAACAGAGGGGAUAACACUUGGAAACAGGUGCUAAACCGAUACUGAUGGAUGGACCCGCGGUGCAUUAGCUAGUUGGUGAGGUAACGGCUCACCAAGGCCACGAUGCAUAGCGGACCUGAGAGGGGGAUCGGCCAAACGGGGACUGAGACACGGCCGAGACUCCGACGGAAGGCAGCAGUAGGGAAUCUUCGGAAAUGGACGAAAGUCUGACGGAGCAACGCCGCGUGAGUGAAGAAGGUGUUCGGAUCGUAAAACUCUGUUGUAAGAGAAGCGGUAUCUAACCAGAAAGCCACGGCUAACUACGUGCAAGCAGCGGCGGUAAUAC